AACCAAACGCAGACAGUUUUUACGGUAUGAAAAACUGAUCGCCGCACUCUUUCAACAUCAACAUCCCUGAACAUGUCCUCUCCUUCCUCCUCCUCCUCAUCCUCCGCCGCCGCUCAUCUCACUCUCCUUGCCCUCCUCUCCGCCACCACCUUCUACUGCUUCUACAAAUCCCGCCGCCUCAAAAAACUCUCCUCCUCCCAAACUCUUCACCCCCUCAAUCUCUCUCCUCCUCCUCCUCCUAAACCCAAGCUCUUCUUUAUCUCCCACACCGGCACUUCCAAAACCCUAGCUCAUCGCCUCUUCGAUCUCCUCACCUCCAAUGACCUCGCAUUCGACCUCGUCGAUCCCAAUCACUACGAGCCCGAAGAUUUACACCGCGAAACCCUAGUUCUGAUCGUUGCUUCCACUUGGGAACACGGUAAGCCACCUCCUAGCGGUGGAUUUCUCGCCAAUUGGUUGGCUGAGAGCGCCGAAGAUUUCAGAGUUGGAUCUUUGCUUCUUAGUAAGUGUAGGUUUGCUGUGUUCGGCGUCGGAAGCAAGGCCUAUGGCGAGACGUUCAACGCCGUGGCGAGGGAGUUUUCGAAGCGGAUGCGAGCGCUCGGGGCGGCGGAGCUUUUGGCUGUUGGGGAGGGGGAUGUUGAUGGGGGUGAAUUGGAUGAGGUGUUCGAUGGGUGGACUAAGAAGUUAAUUGAGGUUCUGAAAGGUGGUUUUUUGGAAAAUGGCGUUAGGGGUUGGAAUGAGAGUGACUCUGAGAUGAUUAGCAGUGAUGGUGAUGAUGAUGAUGGAGAAGAAAAUGGGGAGGAGUCGGGUAUUGUUGAUCUUGAGGACAUUGCUGGCAAAGCCCCUUCAAGGAAAUCAAAGACAGUGAUUCAAUCUAAUGGGAAAUUGAAUGGUGAAAAAGAGAUGGUGACUCCUGUGAUUAGAGCUAGCUUGGAGAAGCAGGGAUAUAAAAUUAUUGGUUCACAUAGUGGUGUUAAACUCUGCAGAUGGACCAAGUCACAACUUAGAGGGCGUGGAGGUUGCUACAAACACUCAUUUUAUGGCAUAGAGAGUCAUAGGUGCAUGGAGACUACUCCAAGUUUGGCAUGUGCCAAUAAAUGUGUUUUUUGUUGGAGGCAUCACACAAAUCCUGUAGGAAAGAGCUGGCAGUGGAAGAUGGAUGACCCUUUAGACAUUGUAAACUCUGCUAUAGAUCUGCAUACAAAAAUGAUAAGGCAAAUGAAAGGAGUUCCAGGUGUUAAACUGGAGCGCUUAACAGAAGGUCUUUCUCCAAGACAUUGUGCCUUAUCGCUUGUUGGUGAACCUAUUAUGUAUCCCGAGAUUAACUCACUUGUAGAUGAGCUUCAUCGGAGGCGUAUUUCUACUUUUCUUGUAACAAAUGCGCAGUUCCCUGACAAGAUCAGGAUGCUGAAGCCUGUGACCCAGUUAUAUGUAAGCGUAGACGCUGCAACAAAGGACAGCUUGAAGGCAAUUGAUAGGCCAUUGUUUGGGGAUUUCUGGGAGCGAUUUGUUGAUUCGUUGAAAGCUCUCAGGGAGAAGCAGCAGCGAACUGUUUAUCGCUUGACACUGGUUAAAGGGUGGAAUACAGAGGACAUAGAUGCCUAUUCUAGCCUCUUUGCCAUUGGAAAUCCUGAUUUUGUUGAAAUUAAAGGUGUUACCUAUUGUGGAUCGUCUGCUACAUCGAAGUUGACGAUGGAGAAUGUGCCCUGGCAUUCUGACGUGAAAGCUUUUUCAGAGGCUUUAGCUCAGAAAAGUGAAGGAAACUAUGAGGUUGCUUGUGAACAUGCCCACUCCUGUUGUAUCCUCUUGGCAAAAGUUGACAAGUUUAAGGUUAAUGGCCAAUGGUUCACAUGGAUAGACUACGAAAAGUUUCAUGAUCUGGUGGCUAGUGGAAAACCUUUUGACAGCAAUGAUUACAUGGCUGCCUCACCGUCUUGGGCUGUCUAUGGAGCAGAGGAGGGUGGCUUUGAUCCGGGGCAAUCUCGAUAUAGAAAGGAACGACAUCAUAAAUCAAGUCAUUGACUAGCAGAAAUUGCAGUUUAUAUCAUCAAAACCUAAGGGAGAAGAGAUACAACCCUGAUCAGUCUAUAACAUCUCAGUUGAUUAAGCUUCAUGACUUCCGUGCCUCUGCCAGUGCUUGAAGCUUCGACCUCCCUUGUGGGGGUACUGAAGUCAUGCCAUCUCAGUCGCAACUUAGCACGUGGCUCAUAAAGGGUGUUUUGGGAAAUUAAUGCAAGUCUCCAAUCAGUAACGGACACGUGGCAGUUCAUCUUGGUAAUGGUGGGUUUGUAUUACAUGGAAGCAGUGAGAAGACGCGGGGUAAUAUGGCCCAACGGUUACUCAAAAAUUCGAAUUCAAAUGCAAGAGGGAAGCCUAAUUGAAGGAAUGGCGUAGUGGAAGCUGAUUGUGCGAAGCCAUGACCAAAGAUCGUGGAAGUGCAUUUCGACGGUUAGAAACCCAUUUCGACGGUUACUUUUGGGAAGUAUAAAUAGAGGAGGAGACCCUAGAAUUCAAGACUCAGACGCAGAUCCAAAAACUAGUUUAUUUACUUUAUAUUUCUUUCCAGUUUUACAUUUCCAGUUCUUUACAUUCCCAGCACUUUAAUUCUUGUACUGUACUUCAUUUCCUAGGAGUAGUUUCAAGUAGUCGUUGUUGUAAACCUUUUUAAGGUGGAGUUAUUUCAUUGUAAGUUCCUAUUUGUUUAAUGAAA